CAAUAGCGUAUAUUAAAGUUGUUGCAGUUAAAAAGCUCGUAGUUGGAUUUGUGGCGUACGGUGUGUUCCGGGCACUUGUUGUCUGAGUAACCUGCUGUUGCCAUCCUCGGGUGGAACCUGUGUGGCAUUAGGUUGUCGUGCAGGGGAUGCCCAUCAUUUACUGUGAAAAAAUUAGAGUGUUCAAAGCAGGCUUAUGCCGUUGAAUAUAUUAGCAUGGAAUAAUGAGAUAGGACUUUUUUGCUAUUUUGUUGGUUUGCGCAAAGAGGUAAUGAUUAAUAGGGACAGUUGGGGGUAUUCGUAUUCCAUUGUCAGAGGUGAAAUUCUUGGAUUUUUGGAAGACGAACUACUGCGAAAGCAUUUACCAAGGAUGUUUUCAUUAA
rnacentral:rRNA from 1 species